rnacentral:tRNA from 1 species
CUGGAAAAUAAGCACUCAAGUUCUUGCGCCCACACUUAUCGGCUGUCGUUGACAACAGAGAAACUUGAGUGGAGCGUGAGCCUGGUGAGCGUCGACAAGCGAUGGCCUAGCCAGAGCUGAUGCGAUUAAGACGGCUUGGCGCUUCAAAUCACGAAUGCGCGGGUCUGUAGCUCAGUCGGUUAGAGCACCGUCUUGAUAAGGCGGGGGUCGUUGGUUCGAAUCCAACCAGACCCACCACCCAUUCGUCGGGGGAUUAGCUCAGCUGGGAGAGCACCUGCUUUGCAAGCAGGGAGUCGUCGGUUCGAUCCCGUCAUCCUCCACCAAGCGUAACCAGAUACUCCAGAGAUGAAGACACGAACUUGCGAUCCUUCGGGAUCGUAACCGAGGGAUUUGCCCUCUCUUUGACAUUGUGAAUGGGUUUUUAAUCGAUGCCGUGGCGCAUCGUGUGGCGACUUUAUCCGUAAGGAUUGGGGUCGUGGCAUGAAUGCGGCACAUUACAGAUGUAAUAUCUGGCUGAGAUUAUCGUCCGCACCUAGCACGACGCAGGUUUUAUGCAGGCCUGUCGUUGAUGGUGUGGAUUCUCAAGCGUGAGGUAAGAGCAUUU